UGGGGAAUAUUGGACAAUGGGGGGAACCCUGAUCCAGCCAUGCCGCGUGUGUGAAGAAGGCCUUUUGGUUGUAAAGCACUUUAAGCGAGGAGGAGGCUACUGAGAUUAAUACUCUUGGAUAGUGGACGUUACUCGCAGAAUAAGCACCGGCUAACUCUGUGCCAGCAGCCGCGGUAAUACAGAGGGUGCAGGCGUUAAUCGGAUUUACUGGGCGUAAAGCGCGCGUAGGUGGCCAAUUAAGUCAAAUGUGAAAUCCCCGAGCUUAACUUGGGAAUUGCAUUCGAUACUGGUUGGCUAGAGUAUGGGAGAGGAUGGUAGAAUUCCAGGUGUAGCGGUGAAAUGCGUAGAGAUCUGGAGGAAUACCGAUGGCGAAGGCAGCCAUCUGGCCUAAUACUGACACUGAGGUGCGAAAGCAUGGGGAGCAAACAGG
rnacentral:rRNA from 1 species